UACAGGGGGGGCAAGCGUUGUUCGGAAUUACUGGGCGUAAAGGGCUCGUAGGCGGCCAACUAAGUCCGACGUGAAAUCCCCAAGCUUAACUUGGGAACUGCGUCGGAUACUGGAUGGCUUGAAUUCGGGAGAGGGAUGCAGAAUUCCAGGUGUAGCGGUGAAAUGCGUAGAUAUCUGGAGGAAUACCGGUGGCGAAGGCGGGUCUCUGGGCCGUAACUGACGCUGAGGAGCGAAAGCGUGGGGAGCGAACAGG
rnacentral:rRNA from 1 species